GAUGAACGCUGGCGGCGUGCCUAAUACAUGCAAGUCGAGCGAACAGACGAGGAGCUUGCUCCUCUGACGUUAGCGGCGGACGGGUGAGUAACACGUGGAUAACCUACCUAUAAGACUGGGAUAACUUCGGGAAACCGGAGCUAAUACCGGAUAAUAUAUCGAACCGCAUGGUUCAAUAGUGAAAGACGGUUUUGCUGUCACUUAUAGAUGGAUCCGCGCCGCAUUAGCUAGUUGGUAAGGUAACGGCCUACCAAGGCAACGAUGCGUAGCCGACCUGAGAGGGUGAUCGGCCACACUGGAACUGAGACACGGUCCAGACUCCUACGGGAGGCAGCAGUGGGGAAUCUUGCGCAAUGGGCGCAAGCCUGACGGAGCAAUGCCGCGUGAGUGAUGAAGGUCUUCGGGUCGUAAAACUCUGUUAUUAGGGAAGAACAAAUGUGUAAGUAACUAUGCACGUCUUGACGGUACCUAAACAGAAAGCCACGGCUAACUUCGUG
rnacentral:rRNA from 1 species